CUUCUUCUGUAUGGGAACAGUGGCCUUGAAAAUGAGUCGGUCUUCACUUCCAGGCCUGGCUGGCGGGCUUCCCAGGGGGUGCACUGUCCAUCAGAGGUGACUUGGGGACCCCUGGAGGACUCCGGGUCAGCGACUGCAGAGCGCCGGGAUCCUGAAGGCGUCUGGGGUCAGUUUCCGGAAAUGGCCUUGCUAUGAGCUCCCCGCCCGAGGUCGGAGGAAGUUUCGCCGUCCUGACAUUGCGUUCACCCCUGAGGCGUCAGGGAAGGUUCUUGCUGUGGAGCUCCCAAUCUUGCAGUGAUCCUCCUGUCUCAGCCUUCCAAGUGCUGGGAUUACAGGCAUGUCCCACCACACCCAGCUCUGGAAGGAAGGUGUUGCUGAAGUUGAAGAUGCCCAUUUUCGGAUUGAGACCCUCGGUUCUUCAUGACGAGCUCUCCGGAAGCCAGACAGCCUGGGUGCACUAGGAGGCCUUGUGGUAUUUCCCAGCAUCCCUUGGGAAUUAUGUGCCUCUUUGUUUUGGAAAGUGUGAUAGUUAACAGUGGUGUCAGCUUUAGGAAGAAAUGCCUGCUGAUUGGUUUAGCACGGUUCGGGUUGUGUCUGGAUGAUGGACAUACAGAAGGGGGAGGACUCACGCUGGGUGUGGGAGACACCAACCAAUGGGCUUCUACCCUGGGUGGAAUCAAAAGGGAAAGAAGGAAGUCUCCUUCUGUUGCUUCGGAGGAGCUCCAGUCUUCACCGUCACCUUUGGGCAUCCGUCUCCAGGCUUCCAGGACAGACCCUUAGGCUUCCUGACAGGAUUUGCAUGGGACUGCGAGGGGAGCUCCAGGCCUUUGACUUGUGACUGGGUCCUUUGGCUCUCCAGCGGGCAGAUGGCCCUUUUGCACUCUUCCACACCUGACUCUGUGGGCGGCCAUUAUAAGCCGACCUCGUAAAUCUCUAGUUAUUUAUCUAUCUAUCUAUCCAUCCAUCAUGUAUCUUAUAUUAAAUCAGUUCCUCUAAUGAACACUGACUGAUACAGAGAGGGAGGGACUACAUCAUCUGGAUAUCACCUUUCCACCUUUUCCAGCUCCUGGUAGCCCCCAGUGUUCUUGGUACGGGGCAGCACUAACUCUGAUACUCACAUAACCUUUCUUUUGUGCAUAUCUGUGUCUGUGUUCAAAUUUCUUCCUUUUACAAGGACAUGAGUUAUAGUGGGUUAGGGCCCACCUCGUGUCUUCAUCUUGACUAUGUCUACAAAGAGCCUAUUCCUAAACAAGGUCACAUUCUGAGGCACUGGGAGGUAGGAUGUCAGUCUGUCUUUGCUGCGGGGAACAGUUCAUAAUGCCACCUCCAGAAACUUCGGACUCACAGCCUCAAAUGUAAUGCCCGGCAUCACAGCUGACCAUGCACUAGAUAUUUCCAGCCCUGACAACAAUAGCUGCCAGAUGUGACAUGGAGAGAUGUGUUUUAUGGAGGUGAGGGGUCCAGGAGACACUAAUCAGGUAUCUGGACCUCAUUGGUCCCACAAGACACGACAACAGAGUUGGAUCAGGAGGGAACCAUAUCCUGAAAAAACCCCACAAGGUACAUGACCCACCUCUGAAUAAUAUAGGACAAACUAUACUUCCAAGAUACAGCUCAGCCCCAUUCAGCAUGAAUUUGAGUCAGCACAGUCAAUUAAUCUUAUCAGUAAUGACUUGCACACCAGAUGAUUCAAUCUGUACACCGGAAACGGCCACUGUUGGUGGUUGUGUUGCCUGGCUCUCCCUUCUGCUGUUUCUUCCCCCACCUGCUCCUUUAAUAUGUUGGCUUAGUUCUCUGCCUCCUCCUUCUGUCCUGGUUUGCUUUUAGCUUCCUUCCCAGUGGAGGUCAAAGGUCACAUAAGGAGAAGAAUCAAAUAGCUUGGUAUAAAACAAAAGAACCUUUAACAAAGCGG
rnacentral:lncRNA from 1 species